rnacentral:rRNA from 1 species
GACGAACGCUGGCGGCGUGCCUAAUACAUGCAAGUAGAACGCUGAAGGAGGAGCUUGCUUCUCUGGAUGAGUUGCGAACGGGUGAGUAACGCGUAGGUAACCUGCCUGGUAGCGGGGGAUAACUAUUGGAAACGAUAGCUAAUACCGCAUAACAGUAGAUAUCGCAUGAUAGCUGCUUGAAAGGUGCAAUUGCACCACUACCAGAUGGACCUGCGUUGUAUUAGCUAGUUGGUGGGGUAACGGCUCACCAAGGCAACGAUACAUAGCCGACCUGAGAGGGUGAUCGGCCACACUGGGACUGAGACACGGCCCAGACUCCUACGGGAGGCAGCAGUAGGGAAUCUUCGGCAAUGGACGGAAGUCUGACCGAGCAACGCCGCGUGAGUGAAGAAGGUUUUCGGAUCGUAAAGCUCUGUUGUAAGAGAAGAACGAGUGUGAGAGUGGAAAGUUCACACUGUGACGGUAUCUUACCAGAAAGGGACGGCUAACUACGUGCCAGCAGCCGCGGUAAUACGUAGGUCCCGAGCGUUGUCCGGAUUUAUUGGGCGUAAAGCGAGCGCAGGCGGUUAGAUAAGUCUGAAGUUAAAGGCUGUGGCUUAACCAUAGUACGCUUUGGAAACUGUUUAACUUGAGUGCAAGAGGGGAGAGUGGAAUUCCAUGUGUAGCGGUGAAAUGCGUAGAUAUAUGGAGGAACACCGGUGGCGAAAGCGGCUCUCUGGCUUGUAACUGACGCUGAGGCUCGAAAGCGUGGGGAGCAAACAGG